GAGCCAAUCUGGGUACAUUAACCAGAAGACCUUGGAAAAUUUAGCUCUUCUGCUGCUUGGCAAAUAGGAGCAGACAUCAUGUAAACUCAUGAACAAGAAGGACCGUAACAGGGUUUAUCACUUCACAAACACAGAACAAAAAGUUGAUCCUAUGCCAGAGUUAAUGGUCAUAGCUCUCUGACACAAACAAUAAAAAUGAGGACUAGUGUGGGAUGAUUUCUGCCAAGAGAGCCUGUCUCCCUGGAAUAUGUUUUAAUGAGAAGAAUAGUGGCCAGCUUAAACUGAAGCAAUAGAUGAAACCAGAUAACAUCUCAGAAAAGAAAUAUAAUACUGAACUGGAUGGAGUCCUGAUGCAGAACUGAAAGAAAAGGAAGUAGGAAAGAAAUUAAGACCCCAAAGGAAUCCUCCUGUGCUCUCACAAGUGGGACAUGUGUGAAGGGAUUAAAUAGCCUUCCUUCAUUCUUGGAAUUCUUAAAUCUUCAGGAGACAACUGGGAUCAUCAGAAUAGCUACAGAGAGCCUCUAAGAAAAGUUCUGCUAGUGGCCUGGGAUAUGGGCGCAUUGCUAAUAGGUGUCCAAACAAUUCACGUAGCCAGGCUACUGGAUAAUGGAAGAAGAGUUGGUUUAGCAAUGUAAUAAAAACUCAGGGACCACUUGGGUCAGGAACCAGCAACAAUAUUUUUCAGAUGAUUUCCCAUGGAAGAAAGAUUGUUUGAUCGCACUAGAUAUCUAGGUCCAUGAAAUAGGUUUUGCUUAAUUGCUUCUGUCCCUAGAAAUGAUGACAAAAGGUUUUUAAAUGUAGCUGCAGAAGGCAAAGCAUUAACAGGACAUACGGAAAUUGCUACAGGCAGAGGAAGAAGGUGGUUCUUAGUAGCAGGCUCAAGAGUAUCUGUUUUCUGAAACCUGAGCUUAAAUAAAUGACAUGGACUUUUGGUAGCCUUAAUUCCCAGCAGCCCACCCUGAGAAACUUAAGUUAGAAAGCAGUUCAAAAUUCUCAUCUCUGUCUCUCCUAUGCUGGGAGUAUCUCCCUCCCUCAUACCUCUUUCCUAGCCUUGUGCAGAGAUAGUAUUCCUUUUCCACAGGGAUGAUUCCAGUUUUAACUGCUUGAUCUCUUCCUAUGAGCUUCUUGUGACUGUUCUAGUCACUAAGCACAUUUUUACUGGAGCAGCAUGAUGAAUCUGCUUUCUCUAGAAAUUGGAAACAGGACUGGAAAAUGAUAUAAAUCAUCUCAUGCUCUAAAAUAUUAUAACAUUUUAGAGGAUUUAUGCAUUUAAUGUGUUUGUAUUCUUCUGCAGAUGUAGUUAAAUAUCAGAGAUAGCUGAUGGUUAUCCCUGCUAGUAGGUAUUUCUCUUAAAUUCUACAGUUAGUAUUCAGGGCUUCAUAUGCUUUGGAUAUUGCAUUCUAUUUUCAAUGUUUCUUUCACAAUCUCUUCCACAGUUUGUAAUUGUGAGAGAUUUACUCUGAAAAAAUAGUAGGUAUGCCAGUGCAAUUUCUUCUCUUUAAAACGAAUGUUUGUUUGUUUGUUUUAAUAUAUUUAUCUUUUUUCAAAAUAUUGAGGCUGUCACUAAAAGAGUUAAGCACCCCUAGGACUAUAAUGCUUGCCCAGACAAAUGCACAUUCCUGUCUGUAAAGACCUAGCUGGAAUGUCUAGCAUCAGAAUUUAACAUUUUGUGCAGUCAAUUCUAUUUCACAUACUAAGCCACAAACCAUUAUAGUUGAAAACAGUAGAAGGUCUGUUUUAAAUUAGGUGACGCAAAUACAGUAGUAACAGAAACCAUGGAAAAAAGCACAGAUGUAUAGAGUAUAUGUACAUGCAAGGCAGCCAACUACGAAAGGCAGGUAUCAGUUAAAAUGCUUUCUGAAGGAUGAAGUUACAUUUCAGCAAACAGUAUGAAUGUAAAAAAAGCAAUAUAUUAAUUGAACAAAAAGCAACAAUGUUGUAUGCUUCUCAUCUCCCGAAGUUCUAUAGAACAUGAAAGAAACAGGUGAUCCCCAACAAGUCUUCUGUGAAGACGUUGUAUGCGGGGGAGGGUUAUCUUCCUUGGAAUGCACAUCAAGAGAGCCCAAUAUGAACUGCUAAAACAAGUAACCUAGUCUCAUGUAAAACAUGCUGAUUUAGCAGGAAUAAAGCAGUCACAGAUGGAGUGCCCAAAACAGCUCAUUUUAUCCCCUAUAUCUAGUUCGUAUAUUCUUUUUUUCCUGAUGUUUCUCUGUAAGAAUUUUUUUACCUCAAUCAAUUAAUUUUUUUGAUUUCUCCCCUAUUUUUCUAAAUAGUAUUUUCUUCUCCAUUGUAUAAUACACAGCACAUGUGAAAAAAAACAAUUUGCUUAGAAAUUACUCUCACAGAUUCUUCAAAUACAUGUGACAAUUUAGAAUGCAGUUUUUUUCCUAAAAUUGUUGUGAUAGACUCUCUUAUGAUAUAGUACUAAAAAAAAGUCAACAGAGUAGAAGAGGCAAUGGCAUUCUUAAAACUUGUAUACUUGGAUAUAACAAAGCUAUUUCCUCUUCAGAUGUAACUGUAGCAUAUCACACAUAUAGCCUAUAUGCACUGCUUAUUCUUUUUACUAAAAUAAAUAGUCUGACUGAGGCGAGAAAUUAAAAUUAGUCUUUGUUGUUGAAAAGAACAUUUUUGCAAUAAAUGUAUAAAAACUAGCCUUUUACGCAGUCAGCCCAUAAUUCAGGAAUGGAAGUCUGUAGCAUACAGUGGGACUGUCAGAAUAAUUAAGUCAAUUUUUAUCUUAUGUCACUUUUGUAAUGUCUUUGCAUUCAGUUUCUUAACAGCUGUCUCAAACUCUAACAGCUGGAAUACCUUGGGAAUGGCAGAAAGUUUUUUUCGUUAAAAUAUCAACCAUUCAGUGUUGUCAUAUUCAGAUAUACUAUGUAUCUAAUAAAUGCCUUCCCAGUGGCACUUGAAAAACAUUGAAACUAGAACAGAUUUGAAUAUUUUUUUCCCCCGCAAACUCAGGAAAGAAACGAACUUGUACCCCAAUGUUUCCUAACUGAUUUCUAAAGUAAUUAAACACAUACUUCUCGGUGAAAAAAAUUAAUAAGAUUUAACUUUGAAGAAAUGUCCUUAGCUCCAAUGUCUUUCAGAAGCCUCGUUUAGAUUUUUUCUUCCUUGCACUCAUACUUUAUUGCAUUUCUUCAAUAAAUGAAGAUGAAGAGUAAAUCUACGGGGAUUAGAGUAUUAUCAUGUACACAUUUGUAAACUGUGUACACAUUUAGAGUAAAUCUCAAUAUAUACAGACUAAUGCAGGUACUGGGGAUCUGUUGCAUGACUUUCUCCUUCACACCUGAAGGAUUCAGAAGAAUAAGAUGCAAGUCCAAACUGUAGAUCCUGUUCUACUUCGUCAGAGAGAUCACUUCUAGUAACUUCAGUUCCACAUUAUCCUGAUCCCUACAUUCAGCUUACCCUUCAAAUCUCCACGUACUUUGAGCAAAGUACUUGAUUGAAUCAAGGGUCAAGUUCUUUGACCAUGCAUACACAUGCGCUUGUGAUUAUUUGGGUUUACUUCUGUUAUUUGAAGUAAUUCUCCUUUUUCUUUUUUUAAAUCUUGAAACAUUGCAUACAUGGCUUACUUCCUCUGAUUUACACAUUGCUGACCUCAUCAUGCAGUGACAGUAUCACCCAAUGUGCCAUAGCAUGUGGAUUUCAUAAAUUCAUCAUGGUUGCCAAGCCAAAUUUCAUAAAUUCCCAUUGUUAGCUUUAUAUUCAGCCUUUGAAACAUGCACAUAGAGGACAGUCUCACGCAUUGCCUUAGUCCUGCAAUAUCUAGAUACAAUGCAGCAUGAUUUUGUCACUUUUAUUUAACGUGCUUGACGCUUGCAUGUCUUACUCUAAACAGAGAUUCUGAUUAACAAAACUACAUCUUCUUCGAGUCAUCUAACAAGAGAAGAACAGCUGUGUCAGAGUUCCUGUUGAUAGUUGUCAUACUCUCUCUCCCACAUUACACUCCUGCGGAAUAGGGUAUUUGCAAUAGGUGUAUGCGUGUUGGGUUAGGGGCUGGAUGGAGGGAGGCACUAUUGUAGUAUUAAGAAGGUGCUUCAGUGUGGUAGAUUAUUUAAGCCUUUCUGCUACACUGAAGUGUCAUCUGCCCCCAUGUCAUCAAGUAGAGUGAGAAACAAGGAACCAGUAACAACCUAUCUUAGCAACUUUACACAGGAGUUGUCUACAUUUAUGCAAAUCAUUAUAGAUACUUUAUUUGGUAGACUGACUUAAUUCUUUUUCUACAAGCAGACAUUAGCAUUUUAAAUAAAGUUAAAAUCUAUGAAACUUAAAAUUUCCUUCAGAUUUUAUAAGUUUCUUAACAUCUCAAGUUCAGGAAUACUUUCUUAUUGUUUUUCCUUGUUAAUCUACAUUUUGUAGCAUCUAUUUUAUAUUUCAUGACAGUGUAAAGAAAAUACAGGAAAUAGUGCAUAAUGAUAUGACUCUGGCACUGUAAUUUUGGUCAUGUGCAUCCAAAUGAUCACAUUCCUUUGAUAUGCCAUAGUAAGUUUUAAAACUGUGCAUUUAACGGUAAGUCUGGUAAGCCACAAUUGUAGAGCAUGGUAAUGCUUGUUUUGGCUUUGCAAAAUAAGAUAUCAAAGUGGUAUAAGAUCAGCUUGCCAUAUUUGGCACCAUCAAGUUUAACUUAAACUUGUAUUCUAGGUGAAUGGAUAGUCAAAUAAAACCAUCCCUCUGGAAAUAGCAGGGUACUGUAUAUAAAUUAAAAGAAUUAUUGGUUGUAAAGCAGUCUGGACUGAAUAUAACAGAUUCAGCUGGCUUGAGCUCAGGGAGCUGUUUCAUUUGCUUCAUAACAGGGCUUUUGUUUCAGAAUCUAGAGAGCCUAUGUUUAUCCCAGCAAAAAACUUCUUAGAUGAAUUAACUAUGUGUAGGUUUGACAGUGUACUUACUGGGACCUCCAGAUGCGUGUUUUGUCCAUACCAUUUAGAAUUUGGUGUGGCUGUCCAUAGUACCCUACUGUACAAAUUUGAAGUAAGCCAAAGCCUUCUCUUCAAAGCCUUUAUUUUAUAUAAGAAUGUUAGCCUUUAAAUUCUGGUAUCUCAGGACUCGUAACUCAGUGUAAUUUCCCCUUUUUAACAAAAUAAUUUUCCUAGUUCUAGCUCUCAAUUCUUGUUUCUUGCUUUAACAGACUGCCUGACAGCAAUUCAACCCUGGUCAAAGAUAGGAUAGUGUACUCCUGGGCCUUAGGUUAGCCUAAUUUCAAGAUUAAUUCCGUAGGUGGAGGAGAAAGAAGACGAUACAUUUUCAGCAGAUUCUUUAGAGAGAAAUAAAAAUAAAAAGCCAGCUAAUUAAAACUGCCCAAAGGUUUGGGAAGUUAUAGACAUUCUGUGGGAGGCAGGCUGAGGAAGGAAAUGCAGGUGAAGUAAAGACACACGUGAAGUUUAUCACAUGAUUCCAGAACUCAUUGUGGAGAUAACAGCCAUAUGCUAACAAGCAGGCAAGAAAAAGCGUUCCAGCUCACCAAAAAGAAAAACAGACUCCUCUAAUGCAAGUGUGCUUAUGACGAUGUGCAACAGGCUACUAAGCAAGCCAGAACUCUGAGGCAGAACUGUCUGCACCAUUGCCUUAGAAUUAGUUCUUCAAAAGUUCUUAAUCCAUAUUUUAAGUAGAAUCCCUAGUGGAACAAGGUAGCUUUUAAAUAAGAGGAAAUUCAGUUAUAUUGAAAUAAACAAGUUCAAAUUAAAUAUUUUAUAUGCAAACUCCUCUGUAUUUUUGGUAGCCAUACAGCCAAAUCCUGCUCCAAGGUUCAGCACUUUUCUAUUCUCAGGUUACUGCAAACUCAGCAUCUUCGUAUGUAUAUAUAUGUG